rnacentral:rRNA from 1 species
UACGGAGGGUGCAAGCGUUAUCCGGAUUCACUGGGUUUAAAGGGUGCGUAGGUGGGCUGGUAAGUCAGUGGUGAAAUCUCCAGGCUUAACUUGGAAACUGCCAUUGAUACUAUUAGUCUUGAAUACCGUGGAGGUCAGCGGAAUAUGUCAUGUAGCGGUGAAAUGCUUAGAGAUGACAUAGAACACCCAUUGCGAAGGCAGCUAACUACGCGAUAAUUGACGCUGAGGCACGAAAGCGUGGGGAUCAAACAGG